UACGGAGGGUGCAAGCGUUAUCCGGAUUCACUGGGCUUAAAGGGUGCGUAGGCGGAUAUGUAAGUCCGUGGUGAAAUCUCUGGGCUUAACCCGGAAACUGCCAUGGAUACUAUGUGUCUUGAAUGUUGUUGAGGUGAGCGGAAUAUGUCAUGUAGCGGUGAAAUGCGUAGAUAUCUGGAGGAACACCGGUGGCGAAGGCGGCAUCCUGGACCAACACUGACGCUGAGGAGCGAAAGCCAGGGGAGCAAACGGG
rnacentral:rRNA from 1 species